rnacentral:miRNA from 1 species
CUCUCUCUCUCUUGGAGUUCCCAC